ensembl:snoRNA
AAGCAUGUUUCCAAGGUUUAUGGAUAUUCAUAGCCAUGGGAUCUCCAACUGCAUGCAAGAAUAACCUAAAAAGACUUUGACAGCACAGGUCAACAUAAUACCUGUAGCUGUCACUCAACUUUCCUAUAUUU